GAGUUUGAUCCUGGCUCAGAUUGAACGCUGGCGGCAGGCCUAACACAUGCAAGUCGAGCGGUAGAGAGAAGCUUGCUUCUCUUGAGAGCGGCGGACGGGUGAGUAAUGCCUAGGAAUCUGCCUGGUAGUGGGGGAUAACGCUCGGAAACGGACGCUAAUACCGCAUACGUCCUACGGGAGAAAGCAGGGGACCUUCGGGCCUUGCGCUAUCAGAUGAGCCUAGGUCGGAUUAGCUAGUUGGUGAGGUAAUGGCUCACCAAGGCGACGAUCCGUAACUGGUCUGAGAGGAUGAUCAGUCACACUGGAACUGAGACACGGUCCAGACUCCUACGGGAGGCAGCAGUGGGGAAUAUUGGACAAUGGGCGAAAGCCUGAUCCAGCCAUGCCGCGUGUGUGAAGAAGGUCUUCGGAUUGUAAAGCACUUUAAGUUGGGAGGAAGGGCAGUAAAUUAAUACUUUAGCUGUUUUGACGUUACCGACAGAAUAAGCACCGGCUAACUCUGUGCCAGCCGCCG
rnacentral:rRNA from 1 species